AAAAAAUAAAUUAAAAAAAAGAAUUAUGCUGUAAAGAUACUGUAUACAGGCUGGAGGAGAGACAGAGUCAAGAUCUACGCGGUGUGGAUGUGGCCAGCCUCUACUACAUAGGCUCGCGUAGAGCAAAUAAUCAGGUGCAAUGAUGCCAGGGAUCACUCCAGAUCUGCAUUUCUGCCUUCGUUUCCAAGUCUUUAAAUGCCAGAGAAAAACGAAUUUUCACCUGCCAGAAGAGAAGUGGGAGAAGAGGACUUCGCAGGGGAGGUGUCACUUAAACGAGUUUUACACUGUGGGACUCUUACCUCCAGAUCAGGGUCCAGUUAUCUCAGGAAGACAUUCACACCUCUCUUGGUGUGAUCAGACUGGUUCAUCAGCAAAACUCCACCUGACACCAGAGUGACCAGCCACUAUUUGGCACUAGGAUAACCGAGUAGGUAGGAAUUUGUCCUGCUUUGAGCGACACAGGACUAACUUCUCUUCUAACGCUUGGGGAAACUGCACUUUUGGAAGACUCUAAUGCCUGAAUUUGUGAAAAUAUUUACUUUAUGGCCAGCUAGGCUAUGUGGGAUUCAAGGGCUCAGUGUUUUUGAGCUUGCCAGGUGCGGGGAUGAGGAGGAGCGAGACCCAGGCACUUGACCCAAGCUGCCAACAGGAUUAUUUCAUACCACGAACGGCACAUUCAAUAUGAAUUAGAAACUUUGCUGAUGUCUUUCUCACUCUCCCUCGAUGAUGGCGGUCCAGUGAACUCCUUGCCCCGGUGCCGGAGCCCUGAGCCCUUCCCUUCCACCCGCAGCCACAGCGCUCGCAGGGUCCCACAUGGACUGUCCCUGUGGGGAGCGCACGGCUUCUGCUGAUAUAAUUGGCUGCUUAUAAUUCUUGUAUAUCUGAUAUUAGUAUCAGGAUCAAUACUGGUUCUUUAGUAUUAUUGUUAAUUAUUUAGUCUUAACCUGUUAAAUCUGUUUAUAUUUCAACCCUCGUGUUUCCUUGUUUUCCCCAGUUCCCCUUCCCGGGUGGGGGGAAUUCUAUCGGGUGAUAGAAUAAUUGUCGAAACAAUAAUAAAUUGUUAUGAGUUUUCUCAAACCAUAACAGAAGUGUACGGGCUGGUGUGGAAAUUAAGUGUCAGCGAGAUACAGCCACACAGCAGCCAGAAUCUGAGCUGUGGAUCCUAAAUCAGUGACUUUUCAUCUCUCCGUCCUGAAUCUAUUAAUUAUGUAUUAUGUCUUUAUCGUGCCAUUUCUAUUGGUUUUAUUCUUUUGUCUGGUUGCUGGGGACACACUCAAGUUCCAGUCAUAAGCAGCACCAUAUGAUUAAUUCUGGCCAUAUAGAUUAAUGUGUUACAUUUUGUUUUAUAUUCUUUUCUCUAUAACAAUCUCUAUAACACUGCAAGCUUCCAGUGCAUAAUUUUCAUUGUUUUUUAAGCCCAUAAACAUCCUUUUCAGUGGUCUAUUCUGAAGCUGCUUAUAAAUUGCGUGUUCAAGAUUGAAUACACAUCUCGGCUCUAGUAACUACUAUUUACGUUUUUCAGGCUGUGUAUCAUUGCUUUAUCUACUAUUUUAAAAGUAUUGCUCUGGAUCUUCUGAAUCAUGGUCUAUACCGGACAAUUCUAUUACUAAAAAGAUGCAUGAGUAUCUAAUCUCUGUAAUUCUUAAUCAUGAUGGAAGUUCAUUGUAGAAGGCAGAAUACUUUUGCUAUCGGUAAGACAUAAAUACAUUAAUUGAAGCUAUUUAAUUGCAUGCAUAAUAACACUUUUAUUAGCCGUUAGCAAUUCCAUUAACACUAUUGGGUCAUUAACUUUGAUACAACAGACAAGUGCAAUUUUGUUGUAAUCAAGAAAGCAAUAAAAGGAUAGUUUGUGUACCACAGAGCA